UUUCCGUAGGUGAACCUGCGGAAGGAUCAUUACUGUAUAACCGACGUCCGACCCCUCUCCCUAACCCUAGAGGUCGUCUACGCGUGAGUGCCCUCACAGACAUCCAUCUCACCCCUCGGUGCACCACCACAGGGGUCCCCAUCGCCUUGUUCGUGGGGCGGCGUACGUUUUCACACACACUCUAUACUCAGUGUAAAAGGUCUUUUUUGUUUUUCCGCUCAGGCAAACAAUACAAAUUGCAACAACGGACCUCUCGGCUCUCGCAACGAUGAAGAACCC
rnacentral:misc_RNA from 1 species